rnacentral:rRNA from 1 species
CCUACGGGAGGCAGCAGUGGGGAAUAUUGCACAAUGGAGGAAACCCUGAUGCAGCGACGCCGCGUGAGUGAAGAAGUAUUUCGGUAUGUAAAGCUCUAUCAGCAGGGAAGAAAAUGCAGGUACCUGUUUAUGACGCCCCGGCUAACUCCGUGACAGCAGCCGCGGUAAUACGUAGGGUGCCAGCGUUAUCCGGAUUUACUGGGUGUAAAGGGAGCGUAGACGGCAGAACAAGUCUGGAGUGAAAUGCCGGGGCUUAACCUCGGAACUGCUUGGGAAACUGUGCAGCUAGAGUGCAGGAGAGGUAAGUGGAAUGUGUGGUGUAGCGGUGAAAUGCGUAGAGAUUAGGAGGAACACCAGUGGCGAAGGCGGCUUACUGGACUGUAACUGACGUUGAGGCUCGAAAGCGUGGGGAGCAAACAGGAUUAGAUACCCUAGUAGUC